GCUGGCCUUCUACUCCGGUCUCCGGGAAAAGCAGUCGGGCAGUGGUGACGUCAAUGAGGCGCCGGCUCUAUCCCGGGCGCCAGCGGCGCUCUUUGAUAACCUCACGCUGCUCGCCCCGCCCCGCUGGCUCCUUUUCCCUAGCCUAAACUCUCAAGCGCCUCAGGCCAAAGCUGUGGAAGGAGUUGCGGCGGGAAGCGGUUACUUUUUACUAGUUACCUGACGUUAACCUCAGUCUGGAAGCAGAAGACCCUCCUUCUGAAGAAUUAUUGGAAGGUCAAUAGUAGCCUUACACCAUAUUACAAUGCCUGCAUCAUUCAUGUCACUUUAUCUCAUCACCUGGGCAUUUUGCCAUCUCACACCAUCACGGGAAGGGCUGGAUAGUGAGAAUAAAUAAGCGGGUGAGGCUGCUCUACCACUGAGCCUCCCCACACUCCACUCGUCUUCCAGCCUUGCAGGAGAGGGACUGAUGGAGAGUAAGCUUUGCUCAGACAGGAAAUAGAAGCAGCUCUGGGCUGAGGACUCAAUCUGCUCUUCCUUUCUGGAUGUAGAGUUUGGGCUCAACUUCUCCAAGACCAUUAACCCAGUAAUCUGAGCUCAGUGGCUCCAGCAUCCACAUGACUGGAAACAGAAGGGUUUCGCCUCUUGCUGUUGGAGGGGUUUAACACACUGUGGAGCUUAGCGGAUUUCUUUCAGGUUUUGUUUCAGCUGCCAAGAGCCCAGGGACUCAAGCAUUUUAAAAAGCUCAAGGAAUGCCAGAGAAUUGAGAAGGGACCCAGGGAAUUGGUGUUUGCUGAGCUAUUGCUGGUGUGCCUGGGAUGGAGAACAAGGAGGCCUAGAGAUGUGGCCCAUCCUGAAGAUCUGGCUGAGAGGGCUUUGUGCUGCAGGUCUAGCCUCUUUAGUAAUCUUCUCUAGUAAGACACAAGGGAUGGAUAAAAAUGAGCAAUUAUACUUGAGACAGAUCCGUUCCUUCAGUGGCAAUAUAUUUUCCUCACAUGCUUUUCUCUUCACAGCAAGCAAAUGCAUGUGGAGCCAGUGACUAUGAAGUCGGUCAUAUUAAAUUUACUCAGUUUUCUUCAAGUCUUCAAGCGUGAAGCGUUGCAAACCUUCACAUGUACACUAGGGAAAGAAAGGAAGAAAAAAAAGAAUUCCACUGCAAGGCCUAAGGAAAAGGCUGUGGAAAGAAAACAGCAAGAUAAAGCAACACAAUUUCAAAUCUUAAUCUCCUGAAAUGAUGCCUUUAAAGCCGCACUUUCCACAUUUCUGAGUGGAGCCCGUCAAAACUCCGUGUCAAAUCAUGUUAUAACCUUGCUUCUUAUCUGUUUGUGAUAGCUUUCAAGGGCCAGUAAUUCCCCCAUAUGUGGCAGAAAAGUUGAUAGUAGAGAUUUGCACACUUGACUAAGCUUCCUGCAUUGCUUUUUGUGCAGUGCUGGUGAAGGACAGAGAUUUGUUCUCCCUUUCAGAACUAAACAUGCAACUGCCAACGACACAGUCAAGAAGCAAACCAGAAUCACUCACUUGGUCAGAGAACCCUGACGAAUACAGACUUCAGCACAUCUUUUAGGGGGAUGCAGACCAACCCAUUGCAUGAAACAGUGGCAGUAGCCAAAGAAGACAAAAGUCUGAGAAAGAAUUGGGAGCCGGCAGGCAUGGACAGAAGACCUACAUUAGGCAUCACGCCAUGGAUUGUAUUUACUGAGUUAGGGGAUUGGAGGAGAGUGAAGGCAGCUAGAUAUGAGCUUCUCUUUCCAUCUUUGUUUCCAGCCAAGGAAACCAGCUGCAAUUCCAGAGAACACAAAGGGAAGCACUCCAAAACAGGUUGCAAAAUGCCUCAUUCCUGAGCCAGAUGCAAGCAGCCUGUGCUACACGAGAGCUAAAAAAAGAAGAAAGUGGAGGGAAAGGAUGCUCAUCCUUGGAACCCAGCCACCAUUGCUCUGAAGAAGCACAUGCCAUGUGGAGAGGCCCCUGGUUCUCAGGCCUGGCUGAGGUCCCAGCUGACAACUUGCAGGCCAUAUGAAGGCUACAUUGGAAACAGUUCCUCCAGCCCUAAGUCUGGCUGCCUGACUGAGGCUGCACGGAGCACAGAUAUUCUUCUCUAGAUUCGGCUUGCAGGACACCGUAGGCAGAAAAGGUGCAAAAGCAAAGGCUGUGAGUAACACUUGCAGAACCUCACCUACAUACUUCCAGAAUGAAGAACAGACACUGUUUCUAACCCUCGAGCCCCAUGACACAGACCCAAUGCACACCUUCUGUGUACCGUUUCCAUGGGAAUGUGCUGCUCAGGUUCCAUAUUGGCAACAGGAUCAUCUUUUUGCCUUGGGUCCCACACCUUCACAGUUCCUGUUGUGAAUACAACUUCUUUUGAGCCCUUAAUGAGCACUGCCAUCAUUCAACUUGGAACUCAAAGUCCUGAGCACACUCAGUGAUUCUCAGAGAUGAUCUAUCUAGGACCUCUGCACAUGACUUACCAGUUACAUAUUUUUCAGUGUACCAUCAUGCUGGGCACAGCAAAUCUACAGUCGAACUGGCUGAAGCUUGUCUAAAUCCAGGUUAGUUAAGAGGAAGGAAUGCAGGAAAGCACCCACUACUGUGGGUGUCUGAGUCUACCCAAGAUGGCAGGGUGAUGAAUGGCUCAAGUAAGUUAUAUUAAUACACCCCUUCUCCUGCCUCCCUCUUUUCUCCUGGAGCUUCUAUCCACAUUUCUCUUUAACAAGUCAGUUUUUGAUAACUUAUACUUAAAAAAAAAUGAAGGUAGCUAUUCACGAAAUGUAAUCCCAACUUAUUACUAGACCAAGAUUUAUUAGUAAAAUCUCCCUAAUUAAAAUUUCAGAUAGCUCAACCUAGGAGACUAUGUUUAUUUUUGUAGCAUCAUUGUGAAAGAAUCAGGACUAAACAGGACUGAGAUUCCACUUCAAAGAAUUGCUUUACUGUUUGACUUUAAAAUACUGCUUUUUACAACACAAAAUUAUAAGACUUAACAAUGAAAAUAAGUCAGUAAUACCUGUGACUAUGCUAGGAAACUCUAUUAGGGAGACAGUCAAUAAUUAUAUUUGUUGCUUAGUCUUAUGCUGAAAUAUUUUUAAAAAGAACAUUCAGACUGGUUUCUCCCAAGUUCUCUGAAAGUAUAUGUAAGAACUGAUGCAUUCUAAUAAAUGCUAACUUAAUUAUUAAGCAGUUAAAGCAAGGGGAAUUAAAAUAGCUUCAUUCUAUUUUAUGAUUCAUGUCAGUAAUUUAAUAAGAAAGCAACAGAUUCUAAGUGAAAAUCAAGAAAGGUCACCUUAGAAAACAUGAAGUAGAGAAGACAGUUUCUUUCUAGAACAUUACUAUAUACUUUAAACAGUAAAAAUAAGACAUAUUCUUGAAAAGUAAUUGAGGAAUUUCAGUUCAUGCCAUCUAAGUAGGAAAUAACUCAAGGUAGAACAUGAAAGUUAUAAGCAUUUGGCAUAAUUAUGGUCUUGUUCAUUUGCAACAGGUUUACAUUGAUUUGCUCAAUAGAUGUGUUCCUAAAAAGUUGUGCUUAGAUGUGCAGAAUUUUUUUAAUGAAUUGGGAAUUCUACAUUAAAAAAUUCAAACAAAGAAAAACUCAGUGUAUCGUUCUAUAAUGCCAAAUGUCUCACUGAAAUAUAAACAGUAUCUUAAGUUUUUCAUGUUUUACAUGUAUGGGGAAUAGCCCUUUAUGUACAAAUACAGGGGAUUAAAUGCUAGCACCAAACAGCAUGUGUGGAAAUAAAUAUUGGUAACAUUAUUCAAACUAGCUAAAGAAAAACAGUAUUUUUAAAUGGAUUUUGAAUAUGAAAUCUAGAAAUAUAUAUUAAAGGACAAUUCUUACAUUUUUAUAAAUAGUUAAAAUUGAACAAGGAACAUUUUAAAAUAAGAAUCCUCCCUUUCAGAGGAAGAGUAACAAGACUAUCAAGGAAACUGCCUAUCUUGCGUCUUAAUAUUGACUAAAUAAUCUUACCAUAUAU